rnacentral:lncRNA from 1 species
AAAUGUAACAGUAUUAUUAUGACACGUACAUAAAAUCACAGGCUUAGAAGUAACAAAACUGUUUUGUAAACUUAACUAUUACAGAUAUUAUAAUGAGCGGUAUGGUGGAAAAGAAAAUGUGAUAUCCUUAAAUUGGAGUUCAUGGGGAUAUUAUAAUUGGAUUUCAUUAUCAUAAUUUUAGAGAGCUAUUAUAUCACUAAAAAGUUUUUGAAAUAAUAAAAAGGAAAAAAAAAAACAUUUUUUUGGGUGGCAAGAAAAUAACUAAAUGACAGCUUGUGGAACAUUAUAGCAGAGCAUUUGUGUUCUAUUUUGGGUCUGAAACUAAAUGAAGAAUUAUGUGAGCACAUGAUAGUUUCACCACCUUUUAUAACAAUGAUUGCAAUAUCCAUCCUCACACCCCGGUUUAUAACCAGGGGGACACAUAUUUUGUGGACAAUCAGAACCAGUAUUACAUGGAUAAGGCCCUGUAACAAAAAAAAAAAGACAAUAAAAAGUGUAACUAAAAUGGGAUAAUAUAUUGUGUCGAAAGUAGAGAAUAAAAUCUUAACUGGUUAAAAAUGGUUUACUUCCUCCCUUCGUUGCAACCAAAAAUAGGGAAACAAAGAUAAUCAUACUAUAAACAAAAUUGACAAUUUUAGCCAUAUUCCCC